rnacentral:rRNA from 1 species
UACACGCUGUGACUAGCAUAUCAAUAAGCGGAGGAAAAGAAACUAACAAGGAUUCCCCUAGUAACGGCGAGUGAAGCGGGAAGAGCUCAAAUUUGAAAUCUUAAAGGGUUUUCCCUUUACGAAUUGUAGUUUAAAGAAGUGUUUUCUGUUGAGGUUUUGGUAAAAGUUCUUUGGAAUAGGACAUCAUAGAGGGUGAGAAUCCCGUAUUUAACCUUUACUUUCAACUUUGUGAUACACUUUCAAAGAGUCGGAUUGUUUGGGAAUGCAGUCCAAAAUGGGUGGUAAAUUUCAUCUAAAGCUAAAUAUUGGCGAGAGACCGAUAGCGAACAAGUACCGUGAGGGAAAGAUGAAAAGAACUUUGAAAAGAGAGUUAAACAGUACGUGAAAUUGUCAAAAGGGAAGCGUUUGACACCAGUGUUGUUUUUCUGAAAAUCAAUUAAAGAACUGUUUAUGCUAAGUUGUUUAGACUUUAUCAGCUAACUGUUUAGUUUUGAGCUUUUCUUUAAUGCACUUUUCAGUUAACAAGUCAACAUCAAUUUCUUUUGCUGUAAAAAAGCUUGAGGAAGGUGGCUUGAGAUUCGUCUUAAGUGUUUAUAGCCUCUUGCCUAUGCAGUCGGAGAGAUUGAGGUCUGCAGCGUAGAUCCUUCGGGGCUAAAUGCAUUUGUGCUAAGUUAUAGCAUUUUAUAGACAACUUGUUGACUAUGAUUUGUCUUGUAGCUUACUCGCUUAUGUUAUUUUACCUACGCUUAGGAUGUUGAGUCGUAGAGCACGCAG